UUGGUUUUUUCCUCUUCCCAUUCAUAGAUUCGGCUGGAGUCAUGGGGCCUCCUCUCUGCAAUGAAUGGAUGGAUGCCUGCGCGCGCUGGGACCACCAGGUCCACAGAGGCGUCGCCAGCACUGGGGACGCUCUUCCCACCAGGGAUCAGGCACCUUUGCCUGGGCACAAGGAGAGACUCCAAACCACCACCCUCUCCCUCCCCUCCCCUGGCAGGCAAGCAGGUGCAUCCACAGGACUCCCUCUGGCCCUCCCAUCUCACCCUGCUUUGGACCAUCCCCCAAAACACUUUCCUGGGUCAGCUGUGGCCAAGCAGUGCCUGUUCCCUCAGGUCCAUGGUGGGUCAGGCCUUCCUCCCCUCUCUGGUACAUGGAUACCUAGAACACAUUUCCUCCUGUCUUUCCUCUCCUAGAUCAUUCCCUCCUGAAGCUUGAGACUCGGGGAAGCUAUUAGCUCCCACUGGGUACCCAGAAAGUCUCAAGGCCACCAGUCAAGGCCAACUUGGGACUUCUCACUACUCCCACAACCCCUCCCAAGUUGCUGCUGUCUUUCCUUUGGAACACCACCUGCAGAUCAAGUUCCAUAUUAUAGCACGAGACCAUCCAGGUUCUCAACUGAGUCCUCAUGAUACUGCACCACCCAGCAACAACCAAAGCCCUCUGAGCAUCUACAAGGCCCUGUAACCACUCUACAAAGCCACACUGUCCCUCUCUUUUCUCCUUGAUCCUGUGCCCCCAGCUGUGAUCGUUAAUUUUGACUGUAACUUGAUUUAAUUAAUAAACA